rnacentral:sRNA from 1 species
GGAGCGGGCCUUUCAGGCAUCCUCUCCCAAAAAACUUUCAAGGGCUGGUCUUCGGACCGGCCCAUUUUUUUUGGCCGC